UACGUAGGGUGCAAGCGUUGUCCGGAAUUAUUGGGCGUAAAGAGCUCGUAGGCGGUGUGUCACGUCGGCCGUGAAAACCUGCAGCUUAACUGUGGGCGUGCGGUCGAUACGGGCAUCACUGGAGUUCGGCAGGGGAGACUGGAAUUCCUGGUGUAGCGGUGAAAUGCGCAGAUAUCAGGAGGAACACCGGUGGCGAAGGCGGGUCUCUGGGCCGAUACUGACGCUGAGGCGCGAAGGCGUGGGGAGCGAGCGGG
rnacentral:rRNA from 1 species